ACUUGCCUAAACUGAGUAGUCGUGGUACUUCUUAUUUUCUGGACCUCAAAAAAGGGCAUACUAAAAAGAACGUAAACGUGUAUUUCCUCCAUGGCAACUGCUUGCAGUCAUUUCGCACACUGACAGGUGACACGAAUACAUCCAUCCAAUCUAAACCAAAACCUCAAACAACGCCGCGAAAAUGUGACAACUUCAACUACGAAACGGAAGGACUCUGUCAAGUUAGAUGUUUUGAUCUAAAGACCAUAUGUGCCAGGUCUAAACGUGAACACUGCGAUGAUUCGG